CACGUGUGCAACCUACCUUUAUCAGGGGAAUAGCCUUUCGAAAGGAAGAUUAAUACUCCAUAAUAUAUUGAAUGGCAUCAUUCGAUAUUGAAAACUCCGGUGGAUAAAGAUGGGCACGCGCAAGAUUAGAUAGUUGGUGAGGUAACGGCUCACCAAGUCAAUGAUCUUUAGGGGUCCUGAGAGGGAGAUCCCCCACACUGGUACUGAGACACGGACCAGACUCCUACGGGAGGCAGCAGUGAGGAAUAUUGGACAAUGGGUGAAAGCCUGAUCCAGCCAUCCCGCGUGAAGGAUGACGGUCCUAUGGAUUGUAAACUUCUUUUGUAUAGGGAUAAACCUAGAUACGUGUAUCUAGCUGAAGGUACUAUACGAAUAAGCACCGGCUAACUCCGUG
rnacentral:rRNA from 1 species